AGUGAACGCUGGCGGCAGGCCUAAUACAUGCAAGUCGAACGAAAGCACAGUAAGAGCUUGCUUCUACGGGUGGCGAGUGGCGGAUGGGUGAGGAAUACAUAGGAUUCUACUUUUACGUGGGGGAUAACGUAGGGCAACUUCUGCUACUACAGCAUACGAUCUACGGGUGAAAGCAGUGGUUAUACGGACUUUUCGUGAUAGAAUGAGACGGUGUCGGAUUAGCUAGUUGGCGAGGUAAGGGCACACCAAGGCAACGAUCCGUAGCUGAUCUGAGAGGAUGAUCAGCCACACUGGAACUGAGACACGGUCCAGACUCCUACGGGAGGCAGCAGUAGGGAAUAUUGCGCAAUGGGCGCAAGCCUGAUCCAGCCAUGCCGCGUGAGUGAAGAAGGCCUUCGGGUUGUAAAGCCCUUUUGUUAGGAAAGAAAAACUGCAUGUUAAUACCCCGCUGUUCUGACGGUACCCAAAGAAUAAGCACCGGCUAACUUCGUG
rnacentral:rRNA from 1 species